CUACGGGCCGCUGCAGUGGGGAAUAUUGCACAAUGGAGGAAACUCUGAUGCAGCAACGCCGCGUGGAGGAUGACACUUUUCGGAGCGUAAACUCCUUUUAUAUAGGAAGAAGAUGACGGUACUAUAUGAAUAAGCGCCGGCUAACUCCGUGCCAGCAGCCGCGGUAAUACGGAGGGCGCAAGCGUUACUCGGAAUCACUGGGCGUAAAGAGCGUGUAGGCGGAUUAAAAAGUCAGAAGUGAAAUCCUAUAGCUUAACUAUAGAACUGCUUCUGAAACUCUUAAUCUAGAAUAUGGGAGGGGUAGAUGGAAUUUCUGGUGUAGGGGUAAAAUCCGUAGAGAUCAGAAGGAAUACCGAUUGCGAAGGCGAUCUACUAGAACAUUAUUGACGCUGAGACGCGAAAGCGUGGGGAGCAAACAGGAUUAGAUACCCUCGUAGUC
rnacentral:rRNA from 1 species